CCUACGGUGGGCAGCAGUGGGGAAUAUUGGGCAAUGGAGGAAACCCUGACCCAGCAACGUCGCGUGAAUGAUGAAGGUCUUCGGAUUGUAAAGUUCUUUUCUAAGGGAAGAAGAAAGUGCCGGUACCUUAGGAAUAAGCCUCGGCUAACUACGUGCCAGCAGCCGCGGUAAUACGUAGAAGGCGAGCGUUAUCCGGAAUGACUGGGUGUAAAGGGUGCGUAGGUGGUUUGUCAAGUUAGUAGCGUCACUCCAAGGCUCAACCUUGGAACUACUACUAAAACUGGUGGACUUGGGUGCAGGAGGGGCGACCUGAAUUCGUAGAGUAGCGGUGGAGUGCGUAGAUAAUAGGAGGAACACCAGUGGCGAAGGCGGGUUGCUAGACUGUAACUGACACUGAGGCACGAAGGCGUGGAGAGCAAACAGGAUUAGAUAACCUUGUAGUC
rnacentral:rRNA from 1 species